GACGAACGCUGGCGGCGUGCUUAACACAUGCAAGUCGAACGGAAAGGCCCUGCUUUCGUGGGGUGCGCGAGUGGCGAACGGGUGAGUAACACGUGAGUAACCUGCCCUUGACUUUGGGAUAACGUCAGGAAACUGGGGCUAAUACCGGAUAGGAGCUCCUGCUGCAUGGUGGGGGUUGGAAAGUUUCGGCGGGUGGGGAUGGACUCGCGGCUUAUCAGCUUGGUGGUGGGGUAGUGGCUUACCAAGGCUUUGACGGGUAGCCGGCCUGAGAGGGUGACCGGCCACGUUGGGACUGAGAUGCGGCCCAGCCUCCUCCGGGAGGCAGCAGUGGGGAAUAGUGCACAAUGGGCGGAAGCCUGAUGCAGCCACGCCGCGUGCGGGAUGACGGCCUUCGGUUUGUAAACCGCUUUCGCCUGUGACGAAGCGUGAGUGACGGUAAUGGGUAAAGAAGCACCGGCUAACUACGUG
rnacentral:rRNA from 1 species